AGAGAGAGACAUGCGCGCAUAUCAAUAAGCGGAGGAAAAGAAACUAACAAGGAUUCCCUUAGUAACGGCGAGUGAAGCGGGAAGAGCUCAAAUUUGAAAUCUUCAAGGUUCUACCUUGACGAAUUGUAGUUUAAAGAAGUGUUUUCUGUUGAAGUUUUGGUAAAAGUUCUUUGGAAUAGGACAUCAUAGAGGGUGAGAAUCCCGUAUUUGACCAUUUACUUUCAGCUUUGUGAUACACUUUCAAAGAGUCGGAUUGUUUGGGAAUGCAGUCCAAAAUGGGUGGUAAAUUUCAUCUAAAGCUAAAUAUUGGCGAGAGGACCGAUAGCGAACAAGUACCGUGAGGGAAAGAUGAAAAGAACUUUGAAAAGAGAGUUAAACAGUACGUGAAAUUGUCAAAAGGGAAGCGUUUGACACCAGUGUUGUUUUCUCGAAAAUCAAUUAAAAAAGGCAGGAUUUUGUGUUGUAUUGACUUUAUCAGCUUUCUGCACUCUUUUCUUGUCUUUUUUAAUGCACUUUUCGUUUAACAAGUCAACAUCAAUUUCUUUUGUUGUAAAAGGGUCAUUGGAAGGUGGCUUUCUUUUCGGAGAAAGUGUUUAUAGCCUUUGGCCUCUGCAAUCGGAGAGAUUGAGGUCUGCAGCGUAGAUCCUUCGGGGUUAGAUACAUUUGUGCUAAGUUAUAGCCUUUCAUAGACAACUUGUUGACUAUGAUCAGUCAUGUAGCUUACUCGCUUAUGCUAUUUUACCUACGCUUAGGAUGUUGAUGUGAUACUGCGAGC
rnacentral:rRNA from 1 species